rnacentral:rRNA from 1 species
UACGUAGGGUGCAAGCGUUAAUCGGAAUUACUGGGCGUAAAGCGUGCGCAGGCGGUUAUGUAAGACAGGUGUGAAAUCCCCCGGGCUUAACCUGGGAACUGCAUUUGUGACUGCAUAGCUAGAGUACGGUAGAGGGGGAUGGAAUUCCGCGUGUAGCAGUGAAAUGCGUAGAUAUGCGGAGGAACACCGAUGGCGAAGGCAAUCCCCUGGACCUGUACUGACGCUCAUGCACGAAAAGCGUGGGGGAGCAAA